AUACGUAGGGGGCGAGCGUUGUCCGGAAUGACUGGGCGUAAAGGGCGUGUAGGCGGCCGAUUAAGUCUGGAGUGAAAGUCCUGCUCUCAAGGUGGGAAUUGCUUUGGAGACUGGUUGGCUUGAGUGCGGAAGAGGUAAGUGGAAUUCCCAGUGUAGCGGUGAAAUGCGUAGAGAUUGGGAGGAACACCAGUGGCGAAGGCGACUUACUGGGCCGUAACUGACGCUGAGGCGCGAAAGCGUGGGGAGCGAACAGGAUUAGAUACCCUGGUAGUCCACGCUGUAAACGAUGAAUGCUAGGUGUAGGGGGUAUCGACCCCUCCUGUGCCGGAGUAAACGCAAUAAGCAUUCCGCCUGGGGAGUACGGCCGCAAGGUUGAAACUCAAAUGAAUUGACGGGG
rnacentral:rRNA from 1 species